rnacentral:tRNA from 1 species
UUUAAUAUAGUUUAAAAAAAAAUUUUAAAUUGCAAAUUUAAAGAUUAAAAUAAAAUUUAUAUUAAAUUAAAU